UAGGACUAUUGUUUGGACAAAACGCUAGAGCUGGUUAUGGCUUGUAACAUGUGGUGUACCAUUGUCACUUGUCCAAACUAUAGUUUUAAAGGAAUGAUAUCUUCAAUAGUUUUAUUUAUAUUGAGACUCGAUUACCAAACUCAAGUGACUAAUUCAGAGAAUGAGUACAAGGAGAUAUGGCAUGACAGGACCAGUGAUUUCAAAUGACAUGCAUAAA